GGAUGCGAUCAUACCAGCACUAAAGCACCGGAUCCCAUCAGAACUCCGAAGUUAAGCAUGCUUGGGCGAGAGUAGUACUAGGAUGGGUGACCUCUUGGGAAGUCCUCGUGUUGCAUUCC
rnacentral:rRNA from 1 species